GACGAACGCUGGCGGCGUGCUUAACACAUGCAAGUCGAGCGAAGAGCGAUGGAAGCUUGCUUCUAUCAAUCUUAGUGGCGAACGGGUGAGUAACGCGUAAUCAACCUGCCCUUCAGAGGGGGACAACAGUUGGAAACGACUGCUAAUACCGCAUACGAUCUAAUCUCGGCAUCGAGGAUAGAUGAAAGGCGGCCUCUACAUGUAAGCUAUCACUGAAGGAGGGGAUUGCGUCUGAUUAGCUAGUUGGAAGGGUAACGGCCCACCAAGGCGAUGAUCAGUAGCCGGUCUGAGAGGAUGAACGGCCACAUUGGGACUGAGACACGGCCCAGACUCCUACGGGAGGCAGCAGUGGGGAAUCUUCCGCAAUGGACGAAAGUCUGACGGAGCAACGCCGCGUGAGUGAUGACGGCCUUCGGGUCGUAAAGCUCUGUUAAUCGGGACGAAAGGCCUUCUUGCGAAUAGUGAGAAGGAUUGACGGUACCGGAAUAGAAAGCCACGGCUAACUACGUG
rnacentral:rRNA from 1 species